rnacentral:rRNA from 1 species
UGAAUACGAGACGCUAAGGCGUCGAAGUAGUGUAUGUCAUACUUCCAAGAAAAGCUUGCACUGUCAUAGAUAAAAAACGCCUGUACCAUAACCGACACAGGUGGGUAGGUAGAGUAUACUAAGGGGCGCGAGAUAACUCUCUCUAAGGAACUCGGCAAAAUAACUCCGUAACUUCGGGAGAAGGAGUGCCUUAUUCGUAAGGUUGCAAUAACAAGAUCCAAGCAACUGUUUAUCAAAAACACAGGUCUCCGCUAAGUCGUAAGACGAUGUAUGGGGGCUGACGCCUGCCCAGUGCCAGAAGGUUAAAGAAGUUGGUUAGCAAUUGCGAAGCUGAUAACUGAAGCCCUGGUGAACGGCGGCCGUAACGAUAACGGUCCUAAGGUAGCGAAAUUCCUUGUCGGGUAAGUUCCGACCCGCACGAAAGGCGUAAUGAUUUGGAUACUGUCUCGGAGAGGGGCUCGGUGAAAUAGACUUGUCUGUGAAGAUGCGGACUACCUCACCAGACAGAAAGACCCUAUGAAGCUUUACUGUAACUUGAAAUUGAAAUUGGACUUUAUUCGCGCAGUAUAGGUGGGAGGCGUUGAUUAUAAUCUUGUGGGAUUAUUGGAGCCAUCAGUGAGAUACCACUCUUGUAAUGUUAGAUUUCUAACUUUGAAUCAUUAUCUGGUCAAAGAACAGUUUCAGGCGGGCAGUUUGACUGGGGCGGUCGCCUCCUAAACGGUAACGGAGGCGUACAAAGGUUUCCUCUGAACGGUUAGAAAUCGUAUCUAGAGUGUAAAGGCAUAAGGAAGCUUGACUGUGAGACCUACAAGUCGAGUAGGGACGAAAGUCGGUCUUAGUGAUCUGACGGUACUGAGUGGAAAGGCCGUCACUCAACGGAUAAAAGUUACUCUAGGAUAACAGGCUGAUCUCCCCCAAGAGUUCACAUCGACGGGGAGGUUUGGCACCUCGAUGUCGGCUCAUCGCAUCCUGGGGCGGUAGUACGUCCCAAGGGUUGGGCUGUUUGCCCAUGAAAGCGGUACGCGAGCUGGGUUCAGAACGUCGUGAGACAGUUCGGUCCAUAUCCGGUGUAGGCGUUAGAAUAUUGAGAGGAGCCUUCUUUAGUACGAGAGGACCGAGAAGGACAUACCUCUGGUGUACCAGUUAUCGUGCCAACGGUAAACGCUGGGUAGCUAUGUAUGGAGUGGAUAACCGCUGAAAGCAUCUAAGUGGGAAGCCCACCUCAAGAUAAGUAUUCUCA